UUCCUCUCUUGGGUUCUCUUUUCACGGAGAGGUGGCUAGUGGGAACAUGCUGGGCAUCUUGGCAUCUUGGUGUUGGCUACAUCUAUUGUCUGGGUUUGUCGGUCAUGUGUACUUCCAAAGCUUUUCAACUAGUUCCGUUGGGGAAGACUCACUUGAGAGAAGCUCUUCUGCUAUAAUGGGACCAUGGAGUCCUGGAUGUAUGGAUGGAUUUGAUGAAAGCUCAAGAGAAGAGAGAUCUUGGAUUCUAGUUUCAAGAGAGAAGACAUGCAGUUUCAUACUUCAAGUUCCUGAAGGGAGAGGAAGACUGGAGAAAAGGUCAACAUGAGGAGAAGUCAUGAAAUUUUCCCUAUGCCCAGUUUAUCACAUUAAAGACUUUAGGAAAUUAUCCUUGAAAUUGUCUUGGUUGAA
rnacentral:lncRNA from 1 species